rnacentral:rRNA from 1 species
CCUACGGGUGGCAGCAGUGAGGAAUAUUGGUCAAUGGGCGCGAGCCUGAACCAGCCAAGUAGCGUGAAGGAUGACUGCCCUACGGGUUGUAAACUUCUUUUAUAAAGGAAUAAAGUGAGGCACGUGUGCCUUUUUGUAUGUACUUUAUGAAUAAGGAUCGGCCAACGCCGUGCCAGCAGCCGCGGUAAUACGGAGGAUCCGACCGUUAUCCGGAUUUAUUGGGUUUAAAGUGAGCGUAGAUGGGUUGUUAAGUCAGUUGUGAAAGUUUGCGGCUCAACCGUAAAAUUGCAAUUGAUACUGGCAGCCUUGAGUAAAGUUGAGGUAGGCGGAAUUCGUGGUGUAGCGGUGAAAUGCUUAGAUAUAACGAAGAACUCCGAUUGCGAAGGCAGCUUACUAAACUGCCACUGACAUUGAUGCUCGAAAGUGUGGGUAUCAAACAGGAUUAGAUACCCGUGUAGUC